rnacentral:rRNA from 1 species
UGCAAGUCGAACGGAAUUGAGGUGCUUGCACUUCAAUUUAGUGGCGCACGGGUGAGUAACGCGUAGAUAAUCUGCCUGAUGAUCUGGGAUAACACUUCGAAAGAGGUGCUAAUACCGGAUAAGCCCACGGAGUCUUUGGAUUCUGCGGGAAAAGGGGGGGACCUUCGGGCCUUCUGUCAUCAGAUGAGUCAGCGUACCAUUAGCUAGUUGGUAAGGUAAUGGCCUACCAAGGCUACGAUGGUUAGCUGGUCUGAGAGGAUGAUCAGCCACACUGGAACUGACAUACGGGUCAGACUCCUACGGGAGGCAGCAGUCGGGAAUUUUGGGCAAUGGGCGAAAGCCUGACCCAGCAACGCCGCGUGAAGGAUGAAAUCCCUCGGGAUGUAAACUUCGCAAGAACGGGAAGAAUAAGCGAGAGUAAAUAUCUUUCGCGAUGACGGUACCGUUUGUAAGCUCCGGCUAACUCCGUGCCAGCAGCCGCGGUAAUACGGGGGGAGCAAGCGUUGUUCGGAUUUACUGGGCGUAAAGGGCGCGUAGGCGGCCUGUGCAAGUCAGUUGUGAAAUCUCCGAGCUUAACUCGGAAAGGUCAACUGAUACUGCUCGGCUAGAGUGCGGAAGGGGCAACUGGAAUUCCUGGUGUAGCGGUGAAAUGCGUAGAUAUCAAGAGGAACACCUGCGGCGAAGGCGGGUUGCUGGGCCGACA